rnacentral:rRNA from 1 species
AGAGUUUGAUCAUGGCUCAGAUUGAACGCUGGCGGUAUGCUUUACGCAUGCAAGUCGAACGGCAGCACGGGUGCUUGCACCUGGUGGCGAGUGGCGAACGGGUGAGUAAUAUAUCGGAACAUGUCCGGAAGUGGGGGAUAGCUCGGCGAAAGCCGGAUUAAUACCGCAUAUGCCCUGAGGGGGAAAGGUGGGGAUCGCAAGACCUAUCGCUUUCGGAGUGGCCGAUAUCGGAUUAGCUAGAUGGUGAGGUAAAGGCUUACCAUGGCGACGAUCCGUAGCUGGUCUGAGAGGACGACCAGCCACACUGGAACUGAGACACGGUCCAGACUCCUACGGGAGGCAGCAGUGGGGAAUUUUGGACAGUGGGGGCAACCCUGAUCCAGCCAUACCGCGUGAGUGAAGAAGGCCUUCGGGUUGUAAAGCUCUUUCGGCAGGAAAGAAAUCGUGCGGGUUAAUACCCUGUAUGGAUGACGGUACCUGAAGAAGAAGCACCGGCUAACUACGUGCCAGCA